rnacentral:rRNA from 1 species
GACGAACGCUGGCGGCGUGCUUAACACAUGCAAGUCGAGCGGUAAGGCCCUUUCGGGGGUACACGAGCGGCGAACGGGUGAGUAACACGUGGGUGACCUGCCCUCCACUCUGGGAUAAGCCCGGGAAACUGGGUCUAAUACCGGAUAGGACCACUGAUCGCAUGGUUGGUGGUGGACAGUUUUUUCGGUGGGGGAUGGGCCCGCGGCCUAUCAGCUUGUUGGUGGGGUGAUGGCCUACCAAGGCGGUGACGGGUAGCCGGCCUGAGAGGGCGACCGGCCACACUGGGACUGAGACACGGCCCAGACUCCUACGGGAGGCAGCAGUGGGGAAUAUUGCGCAAUGGGCGGAAGCCUGACGCAGCGACGCCGCGUGGGGGAUGACGGCCUUCGGGUUGUAAACCUCUUUCGCCAGGGACGAAGAGCAAUUGACGGUACCUGGAGAAGAAGCACCGACCAACUACGUGCCAGCAGCCGCCGCC